CCACCUCUGCGCAAACAACUGCGGGUUCUUCGGCAGCCCGGCCACCAUGAACCUCUGCUCCAAAUGCUACAGAGAUUUCUGCCUCAAGGAGCAGCAGGAGGCCUCGAUUAAAUCCACCGUCGAAGCCUCCCUCUCCGCCUCCGCCGCCUCCGCCGCCGCCGCUUCUCCUCCUUGUUCUCCGCCUUCAACAUCCUUGCCUUCUUCUGCGGCAGCGAUCGAGACUCAAUGUCAGCCUCCGCCUCCGGCGUUGACUUUGCCGGAGGUAGUCGGAGAUAUAAUCAAAGAUCCCGCCGGAGAUCUCCGGGCUCGU
rnacentral:lncRNA from 1 species